CCCUUAAUCUUUCCUUUUUAUAUUUUCUACAACAGAAGACCUACAUUUUGGUGAUAAUAGAAAGUGGUCUCAAGCUGGAAAUCAGCCAACUGAUACCCAGAGCUGUUGUAUGCCAGGCACAGGGGAGAAACAAAGAUGGCCUUUUGGAUCAUGGACCUCACAGUCCCAGAUACCAACAAAAACACUCCUUGGCAUCUGAGUUCUGUGGACACUCUGCUUGGAUUCAGAUCUUGACUCUGUCAUUCGUUAGCUUCCCAUUGAACUCGGGUGCCACAUGGAUUGGACACGUCUGUGGAGAAUGCUCUGCUCACAGUCCUGUUCCCACCUGCAGUGAGAGAAGGCAAGUGGGCCUCUGCACUGGUGAAGACAAGAACCCCUCCCUGAGACUCCUGUAGAGAGGAAAUCAUCUCUCCUACUGGGAGCUCAGCCGGCCUCUCAGACCAAGCUUAGGUGUCCAACGAGAACAGGAGGCUCUUCCAUGAAGUCAGCACUUCCUGGUUCUAGAAGCUUCCUGACCAAAACUCCAGCCUGACUGCCAAACUCUUGUGUACUGAGAUGUUGAUAGGAUCUCUCAAAGAGUCAUACUCAGAUACCAGUGAACUGCACCUUCCCUCACAUCAGGAUUUCCUUGGUGUAUGGGUUGAAUUGUGUCCCUCCACCAAAAAAGACAUGUUGAAAUCCGAACCCCCAGGACCUCAGAACAUGACCUUAUUUGAGAUAGGGUCCAUUCGGAUGGUCUCUAGUCCAAUAUGACUGGUAUCCUUAUUAAAGGGAAAAAUUUAGAGAGACAUACAUACACAGAGGAAAACAAAAUAUGAAGAGACGCAUCUCUACAAACCAAGGAGAAGUCCUGGCUCUCCUUCACAGCCCUCAGAAGGAAAUCACCUGCUGACACCUUGAUUCUGGAAAUCCAGCCUCCAGAACUGGGAGACACUACACUUCUGUUGCUCAGGCCAUCCAGUUUUGCGGUACUUUGUCACAGCGGUCCCAGGAGACUGAUGUCCUCGGCUUCCUGUCCACCCAGACAAGCAAGUCAGGACCAAGGGGGAGCAUAUCUACAUCUGAGCCAGUUGGAUUUGGGAUGGCAUUCCACAGUGGAAUGAGGGAAAUGAGUUCAACAAGGGCCAAGCAGUAUUACUAGGAAUAUCGUAAGGGCUUUGGUUCCUUACAGGGCAGUGGUCUCUUGACCCAAAAUCUGAAUGUAAUGGACACAUAGACUGUGUGUGUGUGUGUGUGUGUGUCCCAUUCCCGUAGGAGAGUAGGUAUGAAAUGUUUUCCCAGAAGUAAGUUCCCCAGAGGCUCGCACCCGGCCUUGUCCAGGGUGAUGUACAGAUGUUAUCACGAUUUCCGUAAUCCGUCCCACCCAUGCCAAAACAGCAAAAUACAGAGUUGCCCAUAAAAAUAAAUUAACACUAAAACAUUAAGAUCCUUGAAGGCCAAGG